rfam:Segniliparus rugosus ATCC BAA-974 genomic scaffold acqcO-supercont2.2, whole genome shotgun sequence.
UACGGUGACAAUAGCGAAGAGGAAACGCCCGGUCCCAUUCCGAACCCGGAAGCUAAGCUCUUCAGCGCCGAUGGUACUGCAUGCGGGAGCGUGUGGGAGAGUAGGACAUCGCCGUAC